UACGGAGGGGGGCUAGCGUUAUUCGGAAUUAUUGGGCGUAAAGGGCGCGUAGGCGGCCCGGUAAGUCAAAGGUGAAAUCCCUCGGCUCAACUGAGGAACUGCCUUUGAAACUGUCGGGCUUGAGGCCGGGAGGGGGUAGCGGAAUUCCCAGUGUAGCGGUGAAAUGCGUAGAUAUUGGGAGGAACACCGGUGGCGAAGGCGGCUACCUGGACCGGUUCUGACGCUGAUGCGCGAAAGCGUGGGAUAGCAAACAGG
rnacentral:rRNA from 1 species